rnacentral:rRNA from 1 species
CAUUUAAAGAGUGCGUAAUAGCUCACUGGUCGAGUGAAGUUGCGCGGAAAAUUACCGGGGCUAAGCUAUACACCGAAAUUGCGGAUUUGCAGUUGAAAGAUACUGUAAGUGGUAGAGGAGCAUUCUGUAGUAGGACGAAGCAGUACCGAAAGGAGCUGUGGACGAGGCAGAAGAGAGAAUGCUGGAAUAAGUAGCGAGAGGAUGGUGAGAAUCCAUCCCGUCGAAAAUCUAAGGUUUCCUAGGGAAGGUUCGUCCGCCUAGGGUAAGUCGGGACCUAAGGAGAGGCCAAAAGGCGUAUCUGAUGGACAGCAGGUUGAAAUUCCUGCACUAUAGCUAUACUUAAAAGAUGCAAGGGACGCAGAAGUGGAAGAUAACCAUGGAAGAGGAAAGACAUGGCCCGCAAGGGGGAGUGAAACAAUAAGUAACGAAGUAUCAAGAAGCACGCUGACGAGAAAAGCUUGUAGAUAUUGUAUAGAAAUACCCGUACCGCAAACCGACACAGGUAGAUGAGGAGAGGAUCCUAAGACGAGCGGGAGAAGCAUUGUUAAGGAACUCGGCAAAUUAACCCCGUAACUUCGGAAUAAGGGGUACUGAUGUAACAGUCAGUCGCAGAGAAAAGGCCCAAGCAACUGUUUAACAAAAACAUAGGUUUCUGCUAAAUCGAAAGAUGAAGUAUAGGAGCUGACGCCUGCCCAGUGCUGGAAGGUUAAGGGAAGAGGUUAGAUUAUAUCAAAGCUUCGAACUGAAGCCCCAGUGAACGGCGGCCGUAACUAUAACGGUCCUAAGGUAGCGAAAUUCCUUGUCAGGUAAGUUCUGACCCGCACGAAAGGCGUAAUGAUUUGGGCACUGUCUCGACAAUGUCCCCGGCGAAAUUGUAGUACUAGUGAAGAUGCUAGUUACCUGCGAUAAGACAGAAAGACCCCAUGGAGCUUUACUGCAGUUUGAUACUGGGUUUCGAUGAUUUAUGUACAGGAUAGUUGGGAGGCUAUGAGUAAGAGGCGUCAGCUUCUUAGGAGCCAACGUUGGGAUACCAACCUUAAGUUAUUGAAAUUCUAACCUUUGAUCAUGAACUGGUCAGGGGACAAUGUCAGACGGGCAGUUUGACUGGGGCGGUCGCCUCCUAAAGAGUAACGGAGGCGUCCAAAGGUUCCCUCAGCGCGGACAGAAAUCGCGCGAAAGAGUGCAAAGGCAGAAGGGAGCUUAACUGAGAGACAGACAUGUCGACCAGAUACGAAAGUAGGGCUUAGUGAUCCGGUGGUUGUAAAUGGAAAUGCCAUCGCUCAACGGACAAAAGUUACCCUGGGGAUAACAGGCUUAUCUCCCCCAA